rnacentral:miRNA from 1 species
AAUAUCCUCUUAACAAAAUAUGCAAGCGUAACAAGUUACGGUUCUGCGCAUGCGCAGACGUAUCUCUUUAAAUACGCAUAAUUUGUUAAAAAAUUAUUAAGAAAAGUUGUAGCCCUCAUCAAGACGAACAACUUUUAUUAAUAUCUUCUUAACAAAAUAUGCAAGCGUAAAGAGUUACGCUACUGCGCAUGCGUAGACGUAUCUCCUUAAAUACGCAUAAUUUGUUAAAAAGACAUU